rnacentral:rRNA from 1 species
UACGAAGGGGGCUAGCGUUGCUCGGAAUCACUGGGCGUAAAGCGCACGUAGGCGGAUCUUUAAGUCAGGGGUGAAAUCCCAAGGCUCAACCUUGGAACUGCCUUUCGAUACUGGGAGUCUCGAGUCCGGAAGAGGUUGGUGGAACUCCGAGUGUAGAGGUGAAAGUUCGUAGAUAUUCGCAGGAACACCAGUGGCGAAGGCGGCUCACUGGUCCGAUACUGACGCUGAGGUGCGAAAGCGUGGGGAGCAAACAGGAUUAAGAUACCCGUUGAGUCCAGUACCAAGAUCUCUUCGCGUAACCCGU